rnacentral:lncRNA from 1 species
AUGCUGAGUCAGCCUGUGUGCUUCCCCGGGAAAGACGGGGAGACUCAAGGUUGGGCUAACAGCUCAGGGACUUCUCAUGGCCUGUCCGGGCUUGUCCACUUCCCUCUGGGAAAGCAAGCAAAUGAGUCCUGUUCACAGCACAAAGAAGUUUUGUCCGGUGGAAAAGAGACUCAUGAUUUUACCUUUCUGAGAAUUAUAUCUGAGCAGAUCGCUGGUCCCCAAGGAAUCUACAAAGUCUCUCGCACCAUCCAUCCCUCCUGCCCCCCAAUCUGUUCAGGUGGCACCAGCAGCUGCAACCUCUGGGUCGCCACUGUGCCCAGAACAGACUUCGAGGACAAGCUGCCCUUGUGUGCUUCUCUGCCAGCGUCUCCCUCCAGACUGCCAGCUCCCGAGGGCAGGGGCCGGAUCUGAUUCUUGCUGGAUCUGCAGAGCUCAGUAGAUGCUGUUGAAUGAAUUUAUGAAUAUACUUGGUCUGGACCACACCUCACUGCUGGUGAAAGAGCCUGGUGUAUGGGAAGGGCAAUUCAUUCAUGUGGCCUCUGAGCCUCAGUUUUUGCAUCUGCGAAAUGAGGAUAUUUCCUAUGUGCUGAUGGGAAGGGUGUCUUAAGUAACUGCUGCAUAGUUUCCAUUUUCUUCUUUUAAUUUCUAUCGCCACCUCCCACCCCACCCCCCAGGAUAGUAUGAACAGGAACAGGGUCAUUUCCUCUGGCUCUCCACCCUGCAAGGCCCACAGAAAGUGUCCAGUGACGUACUGCCACCCGGUUCAUAAAUGAGAAGGGGCCAGGGUGCCCACAGCCGGCGGACAAGCAGCAGCAUCUACUCAGCAGAAGCCUUGCACUCCAAUGCUGGGGGGUUGAGGGCAAAGGGAGGGCUGGAGACCCGAACACGAACAGGAACCCCAAGGGAAUAACUGAAGGGAGAGAAUGGCUGGAAGAGGCUGGAUUUCAAGAAGCCACAAGUCCCAGCCCCAGCCCCGGCCCCAGCCCCAGGAACGCACCUGCUUCUCUGGCCCCUCCUUCCCUGAACAGCAUCAUCGGCUGAGAAAACAGACUUCUGAAUUCCUGGGGUUCGGGCGCCAUCUCGUGGCCAUUUCUGAAACUGCCCAUCCCGGCUGAGCAGAGCCCAGAGGUCCAAGAGCAACGGGGGACCAGGCCAACACUCCUCCAACUUUCCUGGCCCCGACCCUCUUCAUCCUCACCUUCUCCCUUCCAUUUAUUGAGCACUGAAUAUAUUCCAGUCUCCGUGUUCAGCCCCUUUCAGGACUUCAUCACGUUUAAUUCUUGGAACAACCUUAAAAGGCAGGUAACACUAGUACCAUUUUACAGACGAUGAAACUGAGGCACAGAGAGGAGAAGGAGGUUUCCCAAGGCCGUACAGCUAAGGAAGUGGGCUAGAAGAGCUCCUCUCUGUACAGGAGAGGGGACAGUGAGGCAUUUGAUCCUGCUGCUUCGGAGACAGUUGGCUUUGCGGUCCUUUAGCUCUAAUUCAAAUACCUUUUUGGUGCUGACUCUGUGCCAGGCCCUGCACUGGGUGCAGUUACUGGGGUCCAGUAACCCCCUCAGUCCCUAUUAACCCCCUCCAUGGCACUUAUCACUGUAUGGUCUGAUUUCCGUCUUAAGUGUCCAUCUCCCACCGAAACUGUGGGCUUCCUGAGACAUAGAGACUGAUAGUCUGUUUUCUUUGCUGCUGCAUCUCUAGAACUCCGAACUGAUCUCAGAACACAGAAUCGGUGCUCCAUUAACAUUUGUGAAUGACCUAACAAAUCAGUGAAUGAGUACAAUUAAAACAAAACAAAACAAAACAAAACAAAAAAACAACUAGGGGCACCUGGCUGGCUUGGUGAGAAGAGCAUGCGACUCUUGAUCUUGGGGUCAUGAGUUCGAGCCCCACACUGGGGGUAGAGAUGACUCAAAAAUAAAAUCUUUAAAAACGUAAAAGAACUACA